rnacentral:rRNA from 1 species
UACGUAGGGUGACAAGCGUUAAUCGGAAUUACUGGGCGUAAAGCGUGCGCAGGCGGUUGUGCAAGACAGAUGUGAAAUCCCCGGGCUUAACCUGGGAAUGGCAUUUGUGACUGCACGGCUAGAGUGUGUCAGAGAGGGGUAGAAUUCCACGUGUAGCAGUGAAAUGCGUAGAUAUGUGGAGGAAUACCGAUGGCGAAGGCAGCCCCCUGGGAUAACGACUGACGCUCAUGCACGAAAGCGUGGGGAGCAAACAGG